rnacentral:rRNA from 1 species
UUAGAGUUUGAUCCUGGCUCAGGACGAACGCUGGCGGCGCGCUUAACACAUGCAAGUCGAGCGAGAACCAGGGCUUCGGCCCUGGGGACAGCGGCGAACGGGUGAGUAACACGUGGAUAACCUGCCCUCGGCACCGGAAUAGCCCGGGGAAACUCGGAUUAAUGCCGGAUAGCCCCACAUCCCUGCGGGGAACGUGGGAAAAGGUAGCUUCGGCCUCUGGCCGAGGAUGGGUCCGCGGUGGAUUAGCUUGUUGGCGGGGUAACGGCCCACCAAGGCGACGAUCCAUAGCUGGUCUGAGAGGACGAUCAGCCAGACUGGGACUGAGACACGGCCCAGACUCCUACGGGAGGCAGCAGUAGGGAAUUUUCCACAAUGGGCGAAAGCCUGAUGGAGCAACGCCGCGUGCAGGAUGAAGGCCCUCGGGUCGUAAACUGCUUUUCUCUGUGACGAUUAUGACGGUAGCAAAAGAAUAAGGAUCGGCUAACUCCGUGCCAGCAGCCGCGGUACCCAAUCGC